rnacentral:rRNA from 1 species
GAUGAACGCUAGCUACAGGCUUAACACAUGCAAGUCGAGGGACCGGCGCACGGGUGAGUAACACGUAUCCAACCUGCCCUUUACUCAGGGAUAGUCUUUCGGAAGAAAGAUUAAUACCAGACAUAAAGGAUGGGGAUGCGUUGCAUUAGGUUGUUGGUGAGGUAACGGCUGCCCAAGCCUUGGAUGGAUAGGGGUUCUGAGAGGAAGGUCCCCGACAACGGAGCGGAUACACUAUCCAAACGCCUACGGGAGGCAGCAGUGGUGAGUAUUGGUCAAGGGUCGGUUGCCUCAACCAGCCACGUAGCGUGAAGGAUGAUGGCUUAUGGGUCGUAUACUUCUUUUAGAUAAGAAUAUGUAUUAUAUGAAUAAGGAUCGGCUAACUCCGUGCCAGCAGCCGCGGUAAUAC